rnacentral:rRNA from 1 species
UACGUGUGAGGCAAGCGUUAUUCGUCUUUAAUGGGUCUAAAGGGUACGUAGGCGGUAUAUAUAAUCUUAUUAUUAAUCACCUUAGAGUGGGUUUGCAUAUUUAUAUACUAGAGUUAUAAAAGGAGUAACAAACACGACAAGAGGAGUGUGACAAUACUAAUAUACUUGAAAGGUUGCGUAGCGGCGAAAGCGUGUUACUAUAGAAAACUGACGCUAAGGUACGAAGGCAUAGGUAUCGAUCGGG